rnacentral:rRNA from 1 species
UGAAGAACGCAGCGAAAUGCGAUACCUAGUGUGAAUUGCAGAAUUCCGUGAAUCAUCGAGUUUUUGAACGCAAGUUGCGCCUGAGGCUCGUACCGAGGGCAYGUCUGUCUGAGCGUCCA